AGUAUAUAUAUAUAUAUAUAUAUAUAUAAUUUGUAUAUAUGGCACGGCCCAAGCGGAGGGUCACCCCCGGGGGCCUGGUCUGCUUGAGGUUUCUUCCUUAUAGGGAGUUUUUCCUCACCACAGUUGCCUAGUGCUCGCUCUGGGGGUUGGUGGGGUUGGUCCUUGCUGGCGUGAGGUGCCUUGAUUCGACUUUCUUGUG